CGCCUACUAGUAGGCUCAGAAGGCCGUGAUCAUCCAUCCAAAUGGUUGAUCACCCACAAAUAUAAAAGAGAAGACUCCAGAUCCAAUCCCAGAAUUCCUGCUCACCGGUAAUCGGAAGUCUACUGGACGAAAGCGGCAACGUUGCGAUAUUUCCUGCUUAAUAUUUUCAGAUAUGGGAAAAGCUCUUAAGAUGACCACACGUUUCAGGAACGUUAAAAUUAAGUUGGUAAGGAGGUCUAUUGCGGGCCCUGCAAAGUUUUCUUACCUCAGUCAAGGUCUUCCUCAGCCCAGCUACAAACAGACCCACCCUUCAGACCCUUCUAUUACAUCUCAACUGGCUGAACCUGAUGAUGCGACACAAAGCUGUUCUGAGAGCGCAUACAGUAAGGCAAAGAAGAGAGAGCUUCAUGCCUGGGAUGCAGUCAAGGAUGAGAUGCUUAAGGUGACGUUUGAAUGUUCAGCAUCAGUCACUACCCAGUGUGCUGUCUGCAGAGAACAUGCUGAUUAUAGGUGCAUUGAGUGCAGCUCCACUGCAGUGUUCUGUGAGGUUUGCCUGAAGAGGACUCACAGAAAUUCACUGCAUCUUCCUGAAAAGUGGAACAAUGUUUACUAUGAGCCAUCCUCCCUGGGGUUAUUCUUAUAUUUACCUGAAGGCCAUGGCACCCAUGCUGUGUACACAAAGGACAUGAAGGUCAUU